UUCAAGUUAGCUGAUACAAGGGAAGAGGAAAGGAGAUACUAGCAGCCAGAAGGAGACAUGGUGGGAAAGGGGCUGACCAGAUAAGGAGAAAAGGGCAUUUACAGGCUAUGUUCAUUCCUCCUAUUCCCUUCCAAUCUCAAAGGGACCCUCCUAACCCGGCUGGUCAUUCAAGUCGAAAAGUGCUGCCGCUGAGUGCCAAGUGAGAAGGCUGACCCAGAUGAAGUGACCAACCUAGUGUGCAUCACAGAAGCAGCUGAUUAGCAGUGCCACAGUAAGAACAUUAUAAAAAAACAACCCUUCCUGGAAACUGCACAGGAGAUCCUGCCGUGAGUCUUGUUCGGGCUGCAGUCCUAAGUGCAUUUAAUGAGUAAGUCCCAAGGAACGCAGCGGAGCUUACUUCUGAACAAACUUUUAAAAGGAUUAUUCUGCAAGAGAUCCAAGCUAUCCAUUUUUAAAAAUAACAUUACCGACCUUUGACAUGUCUACAGAUUAAUAACAGUGUUUUAUCUAUUGAGAGAACAGCCGCCACUUUGGGGAUUGUGUUUUUGUGUGAACCCUUGGAGAAGUCUGAAUUCUAGUCAAGCUGUAGCUGGAUAUUUCCAAAGCAUAACCCUGGUCAGAUGCGGAUGCUCACUGAAAUAGUUUCCAGAGCAUUCUGCACUUUGGUUGGAUGACCGUCUGUUUCACAUUAAGAUGAACAAUAGAGGAAUGUGGUGAUGAAAGAGUGUGCAUCUGAUGCUAAACAUCAAAUAUGUUUGCAAAAAAAACCCUCCACAAUUGUUUAAGCCUUUUUACUCAGCAUAUGUGUGUGCGCACAAGAGACAGACAGAGUAAGACUGAAAACAUAACAUCUGGUAUUUGUUUUACGGUACUAUUUUGAAAAUAUUUAAUGGACUUCUGUGGCUGUUAACCUGAACUAUUUUCUAUACUUGCCAAGGCCAUACUAAUGACUUGGUGCUUUGUUUAUUGGGAUGUUUUCUUUCCUUUGAUUCAAGGCCAGUUUAUAAACCACUUUGUUGUGGGCAUUUUUCUAUCACAACAGCAUCAUGCAUUUCAGAGUAUGAUGGGCUGAAUUGUUAAAGAUCCCAAACCCUUAU